rnacentral:rRNA from 1 species
GUCUUUUUGUUAAUAAUUUAAAGUCUAAUCUGCCCACUGAUAUAUUUAUUAAAGGGCUGCAGUAUUUUGACUGUACAAAGGUAGCAUAAUCAUUAGUCUUUUAAUUGGUGACUUGUAUGAAAGAUUGGAUGAAAUAUAAACUGUCUCUUUUAUAAAAAAAAAUUGAAUUUAAUUUUUUAAUUAAAAAGUUAAAAUUAUUUAAAAAGACGAGAAGACCCUAUAGAGUUUUAUAAUUUAUUUUGUAAAUAUUUUUAUUUUUAUAUUUUUAUAAUUUUAAAUUAUUUUGUUGGGGUGAUAAAAAAAUUUAAUUAACUUUUUUUAAUAGUUUACAUUAAUAAGUGAUUAAAUGAUCCAAUUUUAUUGAUUAAAAGAAAAAAUUACCUUAGGGAUAACAGCGUAAUUUUUUUUUUUAGUUCAAAUAAAAAGAAAAGUUUGCGACCUCGAUGUUGGAUUAAGAUAAAAUUUAAAUGUAGAAGUUUAAAAUUUUGAUCUGUUCGAUCAUUAAAAUCUU